UACGUAGGGUGCAGGCGUUAAUCGGAAUUACUGGGCGUAAGCGUGCGCAGGCGGUCUUUUAAGUCAGAUGUGAAAUCCCCGGGCUUAACCUGGGACUGCGUUUGAAACUGGAAGGCUUGAGUGUGGCAGAGGGGGGUGGAAUUCCACGUGUAGCAGUGAAAUGCGUAGAGAUGUGGAGGAACACCGAUGGCGAAGGCAGCCCCCUGGGCUAACACUGACGCUCAUGCACGAAAGCGUGGGGAGCAAACAGG
rnacentral:rRNA from 1 species